rnacentral:lncRNA from 12 species
GUGUGACAGGAUGGAAGACAGGAGGAGAAGAUAGUGUGCAGAAAUGCAGAGGUGGUCGAUGAUGGUGGUCUGCAAGUCAAAUCCUGUGACAAGGAAGCCGCAGAAAGCCAUCGAACCUGUAUGGACCAUGAGGACAAGAAUAACUGUCAUCUCAGUGGAAAUAUUGCCUUGACACCAUAAAGACUUCUUAAUUGCGGAAAGCUGCUAAAAACUGGAACCCUCUACUCUCAUACUCAGCCUGGACACCAGGAAUCAAAAUCUACAUCAGCAUAACUUUGCUAUUCCCCUCUCUUCAUCAGCAUGACUUUAUUUUUCUGGGAGAGUUUUGCUCAAAUGACUUGAUUGUUUAUCACAGGAACUUCCAAGAAACCCGUCAUCUCUUCAAUAAAAAAUAUCAACAGAUUCUUUGAACCCCUUGC